AUUUAUCACGAUAAUUGCUUUACAUACACUCUUAGCAACUUGGUAAAGAAUUCCUAAUAAGCGUCUUUACCGAGCUCUUGGUAAUUACGCGUCCUACAAAAAUUAUACGCGAUUAUUACCGCAUCAAUACCAAACAGGUAACUAGCCUUCCACCGCAAUAUUUUAAGUGAUCUUUAUAAUUUUGGUAAUAAAUCCCUACUAGCCGGUAAUUAUAUCCUUCAAAUUUAGAUAACACUCUUUACCAUAAUUCUACUUAAGUGCAGUACAAAUGUUUCCCGUUGUGGUGCUGAUGAGAUCUACAUUUUGGUGUAGUUUAUUACCGUAGAGUUUUAUUUUCCGCUCAACUCAAUUCAACAUGGCGAAAUUAAUCGGUUUUUUGCCCGACGUAAAAAACUGAUAAAAACUUCUGGAAAUUAUAUAGAAUUUUUGGAAACAUUGAAGCAAAAAUUUGAGUUAGAAAUCCGAACAGAGAUUUUUCUGCCAGACGACCAGGGGGAGGAGAUCGGCGACGAAAGUUUCAUCAAUAAUUUACGUUACACAUCCUGAUGAGUCGCCGAAGUCCAAUAAUGGUUUCAGAAGAACCCAAAUUUCAAAUGAUGUUGAUAUUUUCACUCAGGUUACAAUCAGUUAACGUUGCAGAGUGCAAUGAGAAAAACUGCGUCGAUAAAACGUCGUCGACAACUUUAGCUAAUGAAUUUGUAGCCAAGUUAAUAUAGGUGAAAGG